rnacentral:piRNA from 1 species
UGGUGGAUGAUCCUUGUGCUGUUUG